GAGGCAGUGUGGGAGAGCUUUCCAGAUCAUUCAAGGAUACUAAGACUUGGUAGGGCUCUAGAUUUUGUUGAGUGUAAUGAGACGGCCUGGGUUCAAGUCAAGAGGUUACCACCCUGACUUCUAUAAUGAAAGGCCCACUCUGGCUAUUUUGUUUAGAAUAGACUGUAGGAGAACAUGGGCCAGACUGAGAAGACAAGUCAGAGGCUAUCCCAAGAAUCCAUCUAAAAAGAGGUGAUUCUACCACGGUGGUAGCAAUGGAGAUGGUGAGAAGUGGCCAGACCUGGCAUCUUUAGAAGGAGUAACUGAAAGCAUUCACCAGUGGAUUCAAUUGCAACGGGAAAGGAAAAAAAAGGAAUCAAGAAAUGAUGCCAGCGGUUUUGUUAGAAACUAGAAGGGUAGAAGUACAUUUUAUGAGAUGGGAAAAAAAGGAGCCCUGCAGAUUUGAGAGAUUUCAAGAGUUUGGUCUUACAUACGCUAAAUUUAAGAAGCCUAUUACGCAUCCCAGAGAUGGAAGUAGGCAGUUGAAUAAAUGAGUCUGAAGUUUAAGGAUGAUAUCAAUGCCGAAGAUAUAAAUAUGGACUUGGAAGGAAUUAGAUCAUUUAGGAAGUGAGUAUAAAUGGAGCAAAGAUGAGGUCUGAAUACUAAGUACAGGAGAUACCAACAUUUAAAGGUUAGAGAAACCAUCAAACAAGAGGGAGAAAGAGUGGCCAGUAAGGAAGAAGGAGAACCAAGAAGGAGGUCAUGAAACCAGGGGAAACUAAUCACAGGUUUCCAAGUCAGUGCUAAGUAUAUUUUAUGUUUUAAAAAUGAUUUGUAGUAUAGAUUUUAAAAUUAAUCAGUUUAAUCAUGUCUUGAAUCAGGAGACACUGGAGAAGAUGCUCACUGUCACAUUGUACACAAUCUGCUUAAAAGAAUGACCAUAAAGAUACCAGCAGGACUUCUCCACUUCUUUUCCUGCUUUGGUUAAAUGCAGAGAUGGGAAAUGAGAUGCGGUGCUGGAUACAUCACAUUGCCACGUAGAAGAGAGAAGUGGUCUUGUUCUAGAUUUGUCUGGGAAGUAGAAGCAAUGUCCAUGGAUUGACAUCACAAGGGAAAAGAUUUCAUCUUAGCCUGAAUAUGAUUGUAUCUAAUAGCUAAUGCUACCCCAAAGGUCACAGGCUCCCUUAAGUACAGUGAGCUUCCUGUUUCCAAGAGCACUCGCUGAGAUGGAUGACUGACACAGAUUCAACCAAAAGGGGACUACAGCGAGCAGCAGAAACCUGGCCUAGAGGAAUUCAAAGGUCAUUUGAAAAAAACUAAGAGAUAAUCUUGCCAUGAUUUGUUGAAGGUUUUCCCUCCAACCGGGCCUUGAAUUCUGAUCAUCACUUCUAAAUAUAGAAAUAAAGUAUCCCAAACCUAA